rnacentral:misc_RNA from 1 species
GAAAUGCGAUACGUAAUGUGAAUUGCAGAAUUCAGUGAAUCAUCGAAUCUUUGAACGCCCAUUGCGCCCGCCAGCACUCUGGCGGGCAUGCCUGUUCGAGCGUCAUUUCAACCCUCAGAACCCCUUGCGGGAUCUGGCGUUGGGGAUUGGCAUCCAGCCAGCCCCGAAAUCUAGUGGCGGUCCCUCCGCGACCUCCCCUGUGCAGUAGCGAUACCUCGCAGCGGGACAGCGGUCUGACCACGCCGUAAAACCCCCAACUUCUCAAGGUUGACCUCGAAUCAGGUAGGAAUACCCGCUGAACUUAAGC